CUUUCUUCUUUGUGGCCCAAAUUGAAGAGGACACUGGAUUCCUCUGAUGGAGUUCUGCUCCCUAGAGCUGAUGCUGCAGAUGCUGCUCUCAGGGUCCUUGGGCUUGCCCCCAGCCAAUGGGAAAGAGAGGUCAAGACUGUGCUCAGCUUGGUGGACCUGAGACAUCGAGGAUCCUUCUGAAAGGAUGGCCUGAGGCUUGGAGCGUCAGAGGAAGUCUGGGGCCAACUCUGCCUCUCUGAGCUUCAGUUUUCUCUUCUCUGCAACAAGAGCAUUGGGCUGUAUAAUCCCUAGAAGGAGACCCUUCUGCUCAGAGCACCUUGAAUGCUGGCCCCACAUCACCUUCCUGACCCUGUCAGCUCAAAGAGGUUUCUCUGCAUCUGAACUCCAUGUGUUCCAGUCUCUGGGUCCUUACCAUGCACUGCUGGGGCAUGCUGUGUGCUGGCCGCCGUCCCUCCUCAUGCUCAGAAGCAGAGCCUAUGACUUAGUCACUUUGGUCUCCCCAGCGCCCAGAGCAGAUAUUUGCACAGAAGAGGAGCUCAAUAAAUGUUUGUUUAAUGAAUGAAUAUAUAAUUCUAACCCAGUGCCCUGCUUUCUUACAGUGACAUUCAAGUCAUCCUAGGCCAAAAAAAAAAAAAAAUGCCUAUUUACCUUCCAAAAUUACCUCUCAUAUUGGUCAAAAUUAAAAUAAACACUUGGCGGAUUA
rnacentral:lncRNA from 1 species